rnacentral:rRNA from 1 species
UACAGAGGGUGCAAGCGUUAAUCGGAAUUACUGGGCGUAAAGCGUGCGUAGACGGUCAUGUAAGUCGGGUGUGAAAGCCCCGGGCUCAACCUGGGAAUUGCAUUCGAGACUGCAUGGCUAGGGUGCGGAAGAGGGAAGCGGAAUUUCCGGUGUAGCGGUGAAAUGCGUAGAUAUCGGAAGGAACACCAGUGGCGAAAGCGGCUUCCUGGUCCAGCACCGGACGUCAGGCACGAAAGCGUGGGGAGCAAACAGG